UCUCUCUCUCUCUCUCUCUCUCUCUCUCUCUCUCUCUCUCUCUCUCUUCCUCUCUCUCUCUCUCUCUCUCUCUCUCUGUUUGUGUAUCUCUGUGUUUGUGUGGAGCUGGUGGGAAUGCAUUCAGGGCCAAUCACUAGGCCUUUGCAGCUUCAAAAAGGAUGAAAUCAAAAAUAUUAAAAGCUUUGUCAAGCUCUCCACUAAUAAGAACUUUCUCAUCCAAGUGAAAGCAAUAAAGUUGGACACCCCUGCAGAACCGCGCUAUAAGUUCAACAUCGUUGCCAUUCAUGAUCCACCUCAAGAAAAUCCAUGAAAAUGAAUGUUCAAAAAGAACUAUGUAAUGCAAGACAUCUCCUUUUGGAACAGUGUAAAAAAAAAAAUAGGCACAUACAAAAGACAAAUAAAUACAUUAUUCAUAUAUAAUGUAUCACUUUGUCUUUUCAUAUGACUAAAUGAAGUCAUCAAAACAUUACCUCAUUUUUGUUACUCCAUUAUGUGCCUAUUAUUAGAAAUCAACAUUUUGGGUUUCUUUUUGCACAUCAUAUAUACUUAUCAUAUGGUGCUUUUAAAAGCGCAUGUAUAUAUUUGAAGUAUAAAAAUCAUAUAUACUUAUGAUAUUAUCCACAUGUA